CUCCGCUCGUGCUCAGGAGAACCUGAUGUGACGAACAUCCUAGCCCUGUCCUGACCCUACGAUGGGCACCAGACUCCUCUGCUGCGUGGCCCUCUGUCUCCUGGGGGCAGGUGAGUCCUCAGAAAACCGAGUGAGUGCAUGUGUGUGAGCGUGAGGGAUAAAUACAUGCAAUGAUUGCAGUCGAUUUCCUCCUCGCUGUUCCCAAUUUUGUCUCCACAGGUCACACAGGAGCUGGUGUCCUCCAGUCCCCCCGGCACAAGGUCACAAAGAGGGGCUGGUACGUGGACCUCAGGUGUGACCCAAUUUCUGGUCAUGCUGGCCUCUACUGGUACCGACAGGCCGUGGGGCAAGGCCCGGAGUUUCUCGUUUCCUUCCUAAACAAGGACAAAGUAGACUCCUCAGGGAUGCCCAGCAACGAUCGGUUCCAGGUGAACAGGUCCGAGGGGUCCUACUCCAUUCUGCGGAUCCAGCGUGCGGAGCCGGGGGACUCAGCUGUGUACCUCUGUGCCAGCAGCCCUACCACAGUGGGACACAGCCACCUCCUUCCUCUUCACCAACCUCAGACUUCUCUCUCCCUGCACCUGAAGACCAUAAACAGGCUGUCCCUACUCAUCGUUCCCCAAUCACAAGAAGUAGAUUUGGAUAUCAGCUCUCAGCUGUCCUUGGGUAGAAAAAGACACUAAACUCCUGAAGGGAAUGUAAAUGAGGGUGGAUCAAAUAAUUAUGGCCUAUAGGGUUGGAAGACUCCCAGGGCUGGCUCCGGGCUCCAAGACCAGGACUGAACAACAGGGACACAGUGGUCCUUCUGCAAGACCCGAGGCUUUCCAUGUAGUGGGCGGUGCCUCCUUCUCUGCAUUUGUGGUCCCAUCUGGGAAGUUUGUGUCAUUCUUGACAUAUUCUUACUUCUUUUUUUUUUUUUAAUUAUUAAUUAUUUAUUUUGAGAGAAAGAGAGAGAGACCAUGGAGGGGCAGAGAACGAGGGAGAGACAGAAUGCAAAGCAAGCCCCAGGCUGCCAGCACAGGGUCCAAUGUGGGGCUCGAACCCACAAGCUGUGAGAUCACGAUCCGAGCCGAAAUCAACAGUCAGACACCCAACUGACGGAGCCACCCAGGCACCCCCAUAUUCUUACUUCUAAAGCCUCUCUGUCCCUGAAACUUUGGAAGCUUGAGCAACACAGGAGCAAGUCUGUCUUCCUGUAUGAAGCCAGGUCUUUACUGCUUUCGUGGUGGUGACGGGACAAGAAGGAUCAUAACGACAAGAUGUCCCAUCCUCUGCCCAGUUUGGACACGCCAUUUUCUCUCUCUGUCGUCAUUUUCCCACGAACAGCUUCCCCAGGCACGCCUCGACGCCCUGAGUGAAUCCAAUUUUUAGAGACGCAGUGUUUUCUUUGAUGCACUGGCCUUUUCAUUUGAAAAAAUUCCCUUGAAUUCUUUGAUUCAAGAAGACAGGAUAUUUUCUUGAUAAUAAUGCCCCUAUUUCCUUUUUACUUAUUUUAUUUGCUGCAUUAUAUAUCAUGAUAUGUUACUUGUUAUAAAUAUAAAUAAUUAUGCAGUUAUAACAUCUUCCACUCACCCGCCGGUGAAGCUGUAGUUUGUAUCUAUGAAGUCAAAAGCUAUGGUCAGAGCUCAUAGACUCAUGGAUCGUGAGUUUCUGGGUGUCCUAAGAGAUAGUCCAGGACCCUGAGUCUGGGAUAGACUGUCACAGACUCAGCAAUGAUGGAGGUGCCCUGAGCCUUUCACAGCUGGUAAGGGGGUUACAAUCAUCCCAAAUCCACUUAUCAGAAACUGUGGUGUCUCAGGACACCAGAUUUGUUUCCCCAGAGAAUGGGUGUUCUUGGAAGAGAGUUUUCCUGGUCUUAUUUUUUUUUUCAUUUUUAUUUAUUUAUUUUGAAAGAGGGAGAAAGAGAGAGAGAGGGAGAGAGGGCAUACAAAUGGGGAGGGGCAGAGAGAGAGGGAGAGAGAAUCCCAAGCAGGCUCCACACCGUCAAAGCAGAUCCCGACGCGGGGCUCGAUCUCACAAAAACGUGAGAUCAUGACCUGAGCUGAAAUGAAGAGUCCAAUGCUCAACCAUCUGAGCCACCCGGGCACCUCAAUCCUGGUCUUAUUUUAAUGUGGCAUCAGCAAAGCACUGCUCAGUCUGCUUCCCUGUGUCUCUGGAAGUGAGCCAGGCUAGGGCCCAGUUGGGAAUCCCUUAUCCUUGGAAGGCCAUGCCAGAGACUUCCUUCCCAGGCCCUGUUUCCAACUGUGCCACCAUUCUCCACAUGACCCCGGCAGUCCCAUCUUCCCUCCUUGCUGCCUAAACCAGGACACGCACAUUGUACAAGCUCUCCAUUGGCUCACCUUGAUUCCGUCCAUCCUUAUUUUCCCACUAGACGCUGUAUCCUCCAUGACUGCCUAUUGUCUUGUAAGAUGUUCCAUAUUUUUCUUAUAUUUCAAUUUUACUUUUUAUUUGCACACACGGGACCCCAUUGUGAAGGUAGUCUUGUUAUAUUCCUAGUCCUCAGCUGAUCUGUAUUUUGGAGGUACGGUUGGUUGAUUGCCCCCUUGGUGGUGGAAGAGGGGCGUUUUUGUUUACUUUUAGUAACAGAGAUAAAUGAGCCUUCUUAUAUUUCAUCUCCCAUACUUUUCUUCCUAUUUUAGACUAAAUACUAUUUUCUUCCAUUCCUCCCAUUUUGUCCCUCUCCGUCUCAGGAGAUAGUUUUAAGGGAGAAGAUUUUGGUUGGACUCUCACUGCCAGAUGUGUGACAGCAGUUAAGUAGAAAGAGGGUGGGAGAUUAAGCAUGGCAUCUCAAAGGAGUAGAGUCAAGGUUCGGAUUGGUGUUGGGAUUAGGGUUUAAAGAAGUUGAGCAUAAAAUUUGCAGGAUGCUGGGGUUCCUGGCUGGCUCAGUCAGUUGAGGGUCCAACUUCAGCUCAGGUCAUGAUCUCACAGUUCAUGGGUUCAAGCCCCAUGUUGGGCUCUGCGCUGACAGCUUGGAGCCUGGAGCCUGCUUUACAUUCGUGUCUCCCUCUCUCCGCCCCUCCCUCGCUCGUGCUCUGUCUCUCCCUCUCUCUCUCUCUCAGGAAUAAAUAAACAUUAAAAAAAUGUUUUUAUUAAAAAAGUUUGCAAGACGCUACUUCUGGAAUAUUCUCCCUGCUGACUAUGCAGACACUUCCCAGCAUCCCUUGGGCCAUUGCAGAAGAAACAAUGAUGCAACUUCAGUUACCGGCCACAAGAUGGCACUGUGAUGCCACUGAGAUCUGAGGGGCUCGGAAAAGUCUGGGAGAGCAGCCUGGGGAGGGAGAGGGUUAAGAAAAACAGGCGUGGAUCCAACACCAGGCAGAUGUUGAAGUUUUCCGUUAUUGCUAGGCUACCUACAGCUAUGGAAGAGGUGGGAGGUCCCUCUAAACUUUAAUGAGCUCCACAGUUGAAGGAUUUGGAUGAGGCAGGCUUGAUGUCAGGGGCAGGUGCAGACAGAGGAGCAACUGUCUCAGAGGAGUAUGGGAAACCAAGGGGGUGGGUGCACCCUAAACUCAGUGCACCGCGGCCACACCCCGUUGCCCCUGCAGGCCUUGCUAAGCAACGUCUACGUGAGGAGUAGCUGACCCCUCCUGAGCCAAGUCAGAAGGGACCCUGGGCCAGGCAGAGUUGGAGAGGUGGGAGGCGAUGACAUCCCAGGCAGACCCGUUUGUCCACCGAAGAGCUUCCAAGCUCGCUCUCCCAGUCCUGGGAUGACAGCAUUUAGUUGGGACAGCACCCUUCUCACCCUGCCCCUGCCAUGAGCCUCAACCUCUUUUGUGUGACUCUUGGUCUCCUGGGAGCAGGUGGGUUCUGGACUCAGCUGGAACCCCGAGCCAUGAUUUUGCCAAGUCCCAGCUCCAAGCCUUUCCCUUUGCUUUGCAGAUUCAGGUCACGCCUUCAGCCUUGCCUCGACCCUCUGUCUCCCUCUCCCGCAGGCCCCGUGGAUGCUGCAAUCACCCAGACGCCAAGAUACCAUAUUAUACAAACAGGAACCAGGAUGAUCCUGGAAUGUACUCAGGAUGAGAACCAUUUUGCAAUGCACUGGUAUCGACAAGACCCAGGACGGGCUGAAGCUGAUCCAUUAUUCAAGUGGUACGGGCAGCUCUGUCAAAGGGGGUGUCCCAGAAGGGGUACAGGGUCUCCCGAGGGAAGAAGGAGCAUUCCUCUCUGACCCUGGAGGCUGCCGGCACCAACCAGACCUCUCUGUACCUCUGUGCCAGCAGUGAGACCACAGCACUGCAUGGCCAGCUGCUCUCUGCACAAAAAGCUCAGCCGCAGGCAUGAAGGACACUCCCGCCUGAGGCCUUGCCUCAAGAGGGGAAAUAACAGCCCUUACCGAGGCUUUCGCCUGACUUCCCAGUGAUGGGAUCUCAGGCCGAGGGGCCUUCUUCCAGGGACCCUUGGUGUGAACUGAGGUCCAUCACUACAGGAGGGGGGUGUGUAAGUAGAAGCAAAUAGCACCUAAUGUUAUUCCACUCGAUCUGGAAUAUUCUGGUAAUUGAGUCAAGCACAGAAACAGUAGCAUCUAACAUGAAAUCCUUUCUUUUCAAUGGAGAGGAACAAAGCAGAAAGCAGCUAAGCAGGUUGAAACUCCCUGGAUGGUCUGGGAUUCUCCAGAUCUAAAACUACUACAUAAAAUCUCGGGCUUCAAAAACACUGCACACCCUGCAAAAAUUCUCUGGAGGAAAAAAAAAUUGUUAAUAACAAUUUAUAAAACACAUAAGGGGAAAUUUCCCGCUCAGGGGAAAUGUUAAAGGCUUUAAACAGCAGCGUUACAGCCAAAGAGACUACAAACUAAGUUUCUGUCUGUGGUUGUCGCCUAGUGUUCUGAACCUUCUGGGGCUCGGGAGGGUUCGAAUUCUUAAGGAAGGAACCGAGUUCUUACCAUCUCUUUGGUUUACACUGAAAUCCACAAGCUCCUCAGGGUUUUUCUUGUAAAAUAUUACAAAAUGAUAUUGGGCAAUCAUUUUAUUCUCCCCACAGUCCAUUUCCCUCCUUGGGUCCCUGUAGGUAAAAGUCCGAACCCAGGAACGAUGUGGCCUGGCUUGGCAUCCAUUAACUCCCAACAGUGGGCAGUCCAUGGUUGGGCUUUACAGGAAGUGCAGACCCCAGGAGGGUGUGGUCCUGCACUGCCCUUGUCCACUCUGAACAAGGUGACUGUACCUGUGAUUUGCUGCAGGCUCACCCACGACGUGCUCACAGAGAGGGGAGAAGGCUGCUUGCCUGGCAAAAAAGUCAAUUCACUGAUGGGACAAUCUGCUGAAAGCUGAAAUGAAAUGCUGGGUGGCAAAACUAACAAAUGACCAAUUCCCCAAACUAUGGGGUUUACAGCACGUUAGGGUUCGUGGAAUUUCUAAAGCGUUGGAGGAUAUUUUUUUAAGUUUUUGACCCUCGAAAUCUCAGCCAUUGAUCCUCAGCUGUUUCUUAACAAACUUGUUAGUCAAGCUUAUUUUGAUGCCAAAUUUGGAGGCUUAUAUAUUUCAUUCCUGGAGAACUUCUAACAUUUUCAGUAUUUCAUGUAUGUGAGUGCUCUUGUCUUCUCUUAUUUGCAUGUGAUUUAUUUCCAAAUCGGACUAUGUGGAAUGCAAGCAUAAAAUUGUGUAGGUCUCCCACCUUUUAUGAAACUUACUUAAGCUUUAGUAACACUUUAUUAAAGUAUAAUUAAGAGAGAGUAAAAUACUGAAAUUAACACAUGAUACAGGUACAGCUUGGUAAAUUUGGACGAAUGUAUACACCAGUGCGACCUUGACCAAAAUCAAGAUAAAGAACAUUUCCAUCACCCAAGAAAAGUUUCCUCAUGCUCAUUCCCAAUCAAUUUCUCUUCCAGAGCUAACCACUUUUCUGAUGUUUAUCACCAUAUUUUGCCUAUACUUGAACUUCAUGUGAAGUAAUUUCAAUCUAAAAUGGGACCAGAGGAUAUAAAUUGAAAAAAUCUCAUGCAUGUGAACCCUCAGAAAAACAAAACGUAAGGACUGAGAGACUGAUUUCCCACAAAUGCCUCAUUUAUAGAAAACUGUUAAUGUUGGAAUUUUCUUAAUAAUAGGGAGUUGGUCGGGACUUGCCUCAUAUCGCCCUCGGGAGAUUUUUGCUUAUGGUUUCCAGAGGCAUAAACGAGAAAUGACCCAGGUCAUGUUGGUCUUGCAAAAGAAGCUGAAUUGAGCUUUGUUUGCCUGACUGGACUGGUUUUUGUCUGUAUUUUCAAAGCUGGUCUCCCUUUGUUUUCAAUUCUAACAGACCUAACUGAGCUCUCUCCUCUCCCCAUCCCCUGCCCAUGGGAACAGCCCAUCCCCAACCCUCGGCGGACUCCCCUGGAGCUUGCUUCAGUCUUCCUGUCCUGAACCGUACUUCCUCUGCUGUUUCCCCAAGCUCAUCUUUUUGACAAUUUUGAUCUGGCCUCAGUUUUCCUUUUUAUUUAGGUUGACAGCUACAUAAAUAGAACCAUAUAAUGAAUGCUCUUUUUUAAUUGGCUUUAAUCUUUCUCAAAAAUUAAUAUUUUUGACAUGUACUCACGUUGUUGUGUUUAUCAGCAGUUUAUUCUUUCUUAUUACUGUGUGGUAUUCCAUUGUAUAAAUGUAGUGAGAUUUGUUUUUCCAUUCUAUUCUGCUUGGAUACCAGGCUUGUACCGGUCUUCAGCUGUUACGGAUAAAGUUGUUCUGAACAUUCUUGGGCAAAUAGUUGUGGAUAAACGCGUUUAUUUCCCUCAGGUAUAGACAGAAGAGUGAAUUACUGAUUCGCAGGGUGGAUACACAUUUGACUUCAUUAGAAAGAGUUGAACGGUUUUCCAAAGUGGCCAAUUUACACUACCGAGGGAUGGGGGUCCCCUGGCUCCACAUUCUCACCAACAUUUGGUGACCUCCAUCUUUUUGUUAUUAUCCAUUCCGUGGGGAAUGUAGUGGUAUCUCGUUUACAUUUCACCACUGAGUAAUGAUGUUUGCUUUUGGGCCAUUUCUAUGUUCCUAUUUUCUUUUGUAAGUGCCUGCUUUUAUAUAUGUUCAUUUAAAAAAAAUUGGGUGGUUUUUAUACUAUGGAUUUGUGGGAGAUAUUUUAUGUUCUAGAUAGGAGUCUUUUGACCAUUGAAUAUGCCGAGUCUGUCUUCCUGGAGUGGCUUUGCCUUGUGCUUGCCUGAUGUUGCCUCUCAAUGAGCUCAAGUUUUACAUGUUUGUAAAGUCUCAUUUACAAUUUUUUACUUUUGGGACACCUGGGUGGCUUAGUUAGUUAAGCGUCUGACUUCAGCUCAGGUCAUGAUCUCAAGGUUUGUGAGUUCAAGCCCCGCAUCGGGCUUUCUGCUGUCAGCACGGAGCUUGCUUUGGGUCAUCUGUCUCCCUCUCUCUCUCUCUCUCUUUCUCAAAAAUAAAAUAAAACAUUAAAAAAAUUAAAAAUAAAACAUAUUAAAAAAAGAAAUUUAUGUAAUGUUUUUACUUUUCCAUCUCGUGCCCUUUGCAUCCUGUCUAAAACAUGUUGCCUACCCCAAAGUUGAGUCUUUUCCUCCUUCUUUUUUUUUUUUUUUUGAGGUUUAUUUAUUUAUUUUGAGAGAGAGAGAACAUGAGCGUGGGAGGGGCAGGGAGGGAGGGAGAGAGAAUCCAAGCAGGCACCACAUCAUCAGUGCAAAGCCUGAUGUGGGGCUUGAUCCCAUGAACCGUGAGAUCAAGAGUUGGGCCCUUAACCAACUGAACCACCCAGGUGGCCCGAGUCUCUCCUUUCUAUUUCCUGCUCUGCUCUGCUGUGGCUGCCCCAUUGCUUGUUCUUUGUCAUCAACUGAAAAUGCUCCACCUCCAAAAUCACAAGGUAAUGACCCCACUCUCUGCCCACAGCUUCUUAUCCCUCUUGUUCCUUGACGUUAUUGGGAUCUCCCAUCCAUUGGUAUCCAUGCUUCCUUCCUGUUCCCUGGGGUCCUUCCAAAGUCUCAUUACCUCACACUAGGGUAAAUUCAAUGAUGUUACAUUCUUUUGCUACAACCUUACAAACCAUCUUCACUCUCCCACCAGGAACUUCUUAGAUUGCCCUUACAUCGCAGAAGCCAAGCCAGAGUUGCAUGCACUGAUCUCUCUUUUUCACAGCGACAGCCGAGUGCCAUUCUAAUGAGCCAAACACCUGCACGAACCAGUAUCGCGAUAAAUCACUGGUUAAUAACCUUACCUGCCUUUGCAUCCCUGCUUUGAGAUUCCAGUGUUCUUGUGGGUGGCGCAGUCGGUUAAGCGUCUGACUUCAGCCAGGUCACGAUCUCGCGGUCCGGGAGUUCGAGCCCCGAGUCGGGCUCUGGGCUGAUGGCUCAGAGCCUGGAGCCUGUUUCCGAUUCUGUGUCUCCCUCUCUCUCUGCCCCUCCCCCGUUCAUGCUCUGUCUCUCUCUGUCCCAAAAAUAAAUAAACGUUGAAAAAAAAAUUUUUUUUAAAUAUCUAACAUGUGUCUAAUAUUUCAAACCUUUCUCACUCACCUUAAAAUUUGCGUUUCUUUCCUUCUUGCUGUUUAAAUCAAAAGCCAAGGGCACUGUCCCGUGAAGGACAACAACCGUGGGGGGGGGGGUCAGAGUGAGGGUCCUGAAGAGGGAUCUCCCCAGAGCACCAUGCUGUCUACCACUUACGUGAAGAAACUGGCCUGCCUUGAACUUGCCUAGGUGAGAGUAGAUGAGGAAUAUAGUCAUUCUUCCCUGAAGCCUCUGGAUUCUUUGUCCCCGAGUCACACUGUUCAUUUUCAUGUUCACGUUUCUCUACGCUUCUGCUGAGUAUCUCAGCAGAACUAAUUGCAGAAUGUUUGGGCUUUUGUUGCUUUAUUUUUUUAAGCCAAAAUACCGUCUCCAGACCUCCUUCUCCCUUGUUAUGUCUAUUAGUGCACAGGUGUGGCGGGGCUAAGGGAAACUAGUAAGGGAAGAAGCAUCAUCCUAGGCCUGGGGUAAGUGGGUGGCUCUUAAUCCCUGAGCCAACUGGGCCCAAGGAAGUGACACGUGUGGGUCCCUGGACACUCAGGCGCCGUGGCUAAGCCUGUCGGUGCUGUGGCCUCUGGACGGAAAAGAACUGACUGUGAGACGUAGCCCCGAGAAGGGAGCUGAGGGAACAGAUCUCGCAAAGAGUCGGUGACCCCGUCCCCUUUUCUCCCCUGCCGUUAUGUCCCACACGCACAACCCAACUGCAAGGUCGAAAAGAAAGGACCCCAGUAAGUAUCAUCCAUAGAGGUCAGCCUCUUAGGACAGGGUGGAUCUGAAGGGAUAAACAUAAACGAUCCAGAACAUUACACCUGGGAUUGCCUCGAGGGUGAGAAACCCCAGGGUGGCUAAGCCUGUGCUAUAAGCCGAUAAAGUCACGGAAUGGUUUCUGGGGAAUCUUCACUCCUAGUAAUUUAUAGGCAACCCAGGCCCCUCUGGAUCCAAUCAGAUGGACUGAAUCGUGGUGACUCUGCAGCACCAGCUACUCAGGACGAGGGGCUGGGAAUGCUGUCGGGGAAAGGCACACGCAAAGACAAAGCUUGGUUCGAACCUAACAUCUGACAGGGGAUUUGAGGACACACAGGGAGGGUGGGGACAGAGUUUACUCACAGCCCGUCACCCCAGCCGGUGCGAUGGUGGGCGAGCUCCAGCCGGAGAAGAGGUGGGGUAGGGAGGGCGGGUCGAUGGGGGGGAGGGGUGGUCAGCAGGUGCAUCAGAGGAGGCCAGCCUCAGAGAAACAUCAGCGCAGCCCCGUGGGCCCGCCUUCCUGCCCGUAGGCUGAGAGGGGAGUCUGGUGUGCCGGGCCCCGCUGUCCGUGGGGUGAUGCCAACAGGGCAGUGCCAUCACAGAAUCAUCUUCCAGCCAGGAAAAGGGAACCCGAGAGCUCAGCUCUUACCCAUCAGGACCAGAACCCUGAGCACAAGAGCCACGGCACUGCCAUGGGCUCCAGGCUCCUCUGCUGGGUGAUGCUUUGUGUGCUGGGAGCAGGUGAGUCCCGUGAACAAGGACAAGCAUCGGUCUUCCGAGCUGGCUGACUCCUGAAUCCUCCACUUUACCUUCUGGGUAAGCCAUCAGGCUCUCUCCCGUGCUCAUUUUAUGUCUGCAUUUCCCACAGGGCCAGUAGAGGCUGGAGUCACCCAAACUCCAAGAUACCUGAUCAAAGCAAGAGGACAGCAAGGGUCGCUGAGAUGUUCCCCUAUCUCUGGGCACUCCAGCGUAUCUUGGUAUCAACAGGCCCUGAAUCAGGGUCCCCAGAUCAUCUUUGAGUUUUUUGAGUAUACACAAAGAACAAAAGGAAACUUCCCGGAUCGAUUCUCAGGGCAACAGUUCCACGACUACACCUCUGAGCUGCAUGUGAGCUCCUUGGAGCCGACGGACUCGGCCGUGUAUCUCUGUGCCAGCAGCUUGG
rnacentral:lncRNA from 1 species